rnacentral:rRNA from 1 species
AACGAACGCUGGCGGCAUGCCUAACACAUGCAAGUCGAACGAGACCUUCGGGUCUAGUGGCGCACGGGUGCGUAACGCGUGGGAACCUGCCCUUAGGUUCGGAAUAACUCCCCGAAAGGGGUGCUAAUACCGGAUAAUGUCUUCGGACCAAAGAUUUAUCGCCUUUGGAUGGGCCCGCGUUGGAUUAGCUAGUUGGUAGGGUAAAAGCCUACCACGGCGACGAUCCAUAGCUGGUCUGAGAGGAUGAUCAGCGACACUGGGACUGAGACACGGCCCAGACUCCUACGGGAGGCAGCAGUGGGGAAUAUUGGACAGUGGGCGAAGGCAUGAUCCAGCAAUGCCGCGUGAGUGAUGAAGGCCUUAGGGUUGUAAAGCUCUUUUACCCGGGAUGAUAAUGACAGUACCGGGAGAAUAAGCUCCGGCUAACUCCGUG